rnacentral:rRNA from 1 species
AUUUUUGUACACGAAUGUACUUCGGAGUUUGAGUUUUUUUUUAUGCUCGAGUUAAAUACAAAGUUGGAAAAAGAGUUUCCUGUAAUCUUAUGUCUUUUGUUCAGGUUUUUAUUCUAUCCCUUCACUUAUUUUUUUGUUGCCUAAGUUCAUUCUAAGUUUACUAUGUUGAACGCUGCCAAAAUAAUUCUAAGUCCAAAGUUGCUGAAAUUUUGGCCGAGUGUUGGAGCAGGCUGAAGUCAAGUCGGUGCUUGGCUGCCGCGCGAGCUAUUUUUGUGAGACAUAAAAUGCGCCUGUGACACCUACCAUGGUGGUGAUCGGUGAUGGAGAAUUAGGGUUCGAUUCCGGAGAGGGAUCAUGAGAAACAGCUACCACAUCCAAGGAGGGCAGCAGGCACGCAAAUUACCCAAUCCUGACAUGGGGAGGCAGUGACAAUAAAUAACAAUACUGGGCUCUAUGAGUCUGGUAAUUGGAAUGAGUACAAUCUAAAUCCCUUAACAAGAAUCCAUUGGAGGGCAAGUCUGCUACCAGCAGCCGCGGUAAUUCGAGCUCCAAUAGCAUAUAUUUAAAUUAUUGCAGUUAAAAAGCUCGUCGUUGGACUUUGGGAUGGGCCGGCCGGUCCACCUUAGGUGUGCACCGGUCGUCUCGUCCCUUCUGCCGGUGAUGCUCUCCUGGCCUUAAUUGGCCGGGUUGUGCCUCCAGCGCUGUUACUUUGAAGAAAUUAGAGUAUUCAAAGCAAUCCUAUGCUCUAUAUACAUUAGCAUCAGAUAUCAUUAUAGGAUUUCGGUCCUAUUACGUUGGCCUUCGGGAUCGGAGUAAUGAUUAACAGGGACAGUCGGGGGCAUUCGUAUUUCAUAGUCAGAGGUGAAAUUCAUGGAUUUAUGAAAGACGAACAACUACAAAAGCAUUAGCCAAGGAUGUUUUCAUUAAUCAAGAACGAAAGUUGGGGGCUCGAAGAUGAUCAGAUAUCAUCCUAGUCUCAACCAUAAAUGAUGUCGACCAGGGAUUGGCGGAUGUUGCUUUUAGGACUCCGCCGACACCUUAUGAGAAAUCAAAGUUUUUGUGUUUCGGGGGGAGUAUGGUCGCAGGGCUGAAACUUAAAGGAAUUGACGGAAGGGCACCACCAGGAGUGGAGCCUGCGGCUUAAUCUGACUCAACACGGUGAAACUUACCAGGUCCAAACAUAGUAAGGAUUGACAGACUGAGAGCUCUUUCUUGAUUCUAUGGGUGGUGGUGCAUGGUCGUUAUUAGUUGGUGGAGUGAUUUGUCUAGUUAAUUCUGUUAACGAACGAGACCUCAUCCUGCUAACUAGCUAUGCAGAGGUAUCCCUUCGCGGCCAGCUUCUUAGAGGGACUACGGCCUUUUAGGCUGCAAAAGUUUGAGGCAAUAAAAGGUCUGUGAUGACCUUAGAUGUUCUGAGCCACACGCGUGCUACACUGAUGUAUUCAACGAGUUUAUAGCCUUGGCUUAUAGGCCCGAGUAAUCUUUGAAAUUUCAUCGUGAUGGGGAUAGAUCAUUGCAAUUGUUGGUCUUCAACGAGGAAUUCCUAGUAAGCACGAGUCAUCAGCUCGCGUUGACUAUGUCCCUGCCCUUUGUACACACCGCCCGUCGCUCCUACCGAUUGAAUGAUCCAGUGAAAUGUUCGGAUAGUGGAGACGUGGGCGGUUCGCUGCCCGCGGCGUCGUCAGAAGUCCAUUGAACCUUAUCAUUUAGAGGAAGGUGAAGUCGUAACAAGGUUUCCGUAGGUGAACCUGCAGAAG